AUGGCUAUAUCACGUUGAAACAUCAGUUCUCGUACGAUCAUCGAAGUUAAGCAAUGUCGAGCCUGGUCAGUACAUAGAUGGUGACCAAUUGGGAAUACCAGGUGCCGUAAG